rnacentral:rRNA from 1 species
AAACGUAGGACACAAGCGUUAUCCGGAGUUACUGGGCGUAAAGGGCGUGUAGGCGGCCACGCGUGUCUUUCGUGAAAUCCCUCGGCUUAACUGAGGACGUGCGGAAGAAAACUGCGAGGCUUGAGUCCGGGAGAGGGGGGUGGAAUUCCCAGUGUAGCGGUGAAAUGCGUAGAUAUUGGGAGGAACACCGGUGGCGAAGGCGGCCCCCUGGACCGGUACUGACGCUGAGGAGCGAAAGCAUGGGGAGCGAACAGG